CUAGGGUCUGAGACGUACUUCCGCCUUAGCCGUUAUACUGCUCGGACGCUUCCGGGUUGCUUCUGGUCUGCGUAGCUGAGCGUCCACAAAUGUUUUACUGUUUAAAUCUGUGGUUUAAAUAUGAGUCGACGGAAGAUUUUCAAAACGGAGCAUUUGCAAAGACAAGUAAAGAACUACUCCGAGCACUGCUGUGUCCCACUUUGUACGGCGUCAGCUAAAUUCAACGGCGUCCUAAGUUUCCAUGGCUUUCCGACCGAACUCGAGCUGCGAAGACAGUGGCUGGUUAAAAUACGACGCGAUAACUUUACAAUCUCCUCUCACUCCAAUGUCUGCAGUCGUCACUUCGCUACGGAUCAACUAAUAGAGCCAAAAACCCUUGAUGGCCGUAGGAGGCUUGUGAAAGGUGCUGUCCCAACUCUGUUUGAGUGGAAUCACUUCACUGCUCAAACACCGCGGGCUAGUGUUUGGGAGAGAAGGGAGCGGCCCACUGAACCAGUCUCUCGGGAGGAGCAGGAAGAGCACAUCGAUGUCCGUGACCAUGAUUACUGCUCAACCCCUGAACCAGCUUCACUGGACAUGUCCUCUCAAGCUACAGAAGACAACUCCAAAACAUUUGAGGAUCUGCAGAAGCAACUGCAGGAGUUAAGAGUCCAGCGAGAGUUUUGCUUACAGCUGGCUCCGACGACAACAUCCGAUUCUAUACCAGAUUCCCGAGCUAUAACCACCUGAUGGCCUUCUGGUUUUUGAUUGAGCCUUCCAUUUAUAAAUGGUUCGUGUUACAAGAGCGAUAUCAGCUGCCAAGAGGAAUGAAGAAGUGGUUACACACGCACGUCCAUCAACGAGACAGCUGCUUCAGCCAAUUGACAAGUUCUUCCUUUUUCUCUGCUUCCUGUCGGUGGGUUUGAAAGAGAGGGACCUUGCAAACCGCUUCAACGUACACCAGUCCACUGUGAGCCGCAUCAUUGCAACAUGGACGAGUUUUCUUACAACUUUAUUGGGGUCACAGUGCAUCUGGCUUACACCUGCAGAAGUUCAAGCCCACCUCCCAGAGGCAUUCAAAGAUUUCCCAGACACACAGGUGAUCCUGGAUUGCACAGAGCUGAGGUGUCAAACACCAUCCUCACUCCUCCUCCAAAGUGAAAUGUAUUCUACAUACAAAUCUCACUGCACCAUGAAAGCCCUGGUUGGCAUAGCCCCACAUGGCGCAGUGACAUUUGUUUCCAGUCUGUGGUUCUGUCAGCGACAAGG